UACGGAGGGAGCUAGCGUUGUUCGGAAUUACUGGGCGUAAAGCGCACGUAGGCGGACUCUUAAGUCGGUGGUGAAAUCCUGGAGCUCAACUCCAGAACUGCCUUCGAUACUGAGAGUCUCGAGUCCGGGAGAGGUGAGUGGAACUGCGAGUGUAGAGGUGAAAUUCGUAGAUAUUCGCAAGAACACCAGUGGCGAAGGCGGCUCACUGGCCCGGUACUGACGCUGAGGUGCGAAAGCGUGGGGAGCAAACAGGG
rnacentral:rRNA from 1 species